AAGACACCAAAGCAGAGAGAAGAUGUCUGUGAGAUGACCUUCAUUCCCUGGGGGUGGAGGUGGGGGUGGCUCUGUGGGGGGACCCCUCCCAAAGCCAUCCCAGGGCUAGGAGGAGAGAUAAAUGCCCUUCAAGUGUGGGGCCUGUUUCAAAGACUGCAUUUCCUCAGCAGUCUGACAUUGUGAGAAGAGCUGGGCCUUUGAGAACUUUCUGGGCCAGUGAAGAUGGUGGCCUAUGACUCUUCAUCACAAGACCCUUUUGUUAUUCCUAGAGAGACAGCCAGUCACAGUGGCUCCUGGAGGGCCCCGGAGUUGGACAAAGCUGGAUUUGAGUCCUGAGUUCUCCACCUAGUGGCUGUGGGGCUGCAACCACAUGACUUAAUCUCCAGAGCUCAAUUUUUGUGUCUAUGAAUCAGGAAUGACAAGAGCGUCCACCUUAUAAAAUCGCUGUGAAGAGGCCAGGAACACUGGUCCACACCUGUAAUCCUAGCACUUGGGGAGGUCGAGGCCAGGGGAUUGCUUGGGCUCAGGAGUUGGAGACCAGCCUGAGCAAGAGCUGAGACCCCAUCUCUAUAAAACUAUCUGGGCAUUGUGACAGGUGCCCGUAGUCCCAGCUACUGGGGAGGCUUAGGCAAGAGGAUCGCUUGAGCCCAAGACUUUGAGGUGCUAUGACACCAUGGCACUCUACCCAGGGUGAUAAAGUGAGACUGUCUCAAAAAAAAAAAAUUGCUGUGAGGAUUCAAUUUCAUCCAUUGAUACUUACAGCAGCAUCUGGAACAGUGCCUGGCGCAUGGCAAGUAUUGUAUAUGUUAACACUUUCACUGUUCUUCUUAGAUGGAGCCUUUCCCAAACAUGGUAAGGGUGUAUAACAGAAUAAGAUGAGACACUGUGGAUAUAUUUUUAUUUAAUGUGUAUGUCAUCUCAUUUUGGAGUUAAGAAAACUGAACACAGAGAGGCUAAACAAGUUACCUAAGGUCACACAGCUAGUUAGUGGAGAGCCAGGAUUCAAACCCAGGAAGUCUCUAAAGUCUGUGCUUUUAACAAAUGGUAUUUGUUAACAAUUGGUAGGGAGAAAUGUUUAAUUCUCAUACACUUGGAAUAAUGGAAAUAGUCCCAGGACCUUGUUAUGGGUUGCUUGAUGUCCACCCAACAUUUAUAUCUACUGAAGUCCUAAGCUGUAGGACUUUAGACCCUACGCACAGAUAAUCAUGUGAAAUCAAGUUACAGUGAGGCGAUUAGGGUGGACCCUAAUCCAGUAUGAGUACUUCCUUCCUUAUAAAAAGGGGACAUUUGGACAGAGAGACACACAUGCAUGGAGGGAGAGGCGAAGAGACACACACAGGGAGGGGCCAUGUGAAGACAGCGGCAGGGACAGGGGCAUCCCCAAGCCAAGGAAUGCCAAGGAUCACCCGCAGUAGAAACCAGGACGGUGGCAUGAGCCCGACUCUCCCGCACAGCCCUCAGAAGGUGCCCUCAUGGCCAGCACCAGACUUCCAGCCUUGACGACUGUGAGAGAACAUGUUUCUGUUGUUAUAGUCGCCCAGUCUGUGGUCUAGAAACUAACACAGAUUGCUCUACCUUCAUCUUCUCCAAACCUGGAGCCACCUGGUGCCAGGAGAGGGCACCUUAGCUUCAAGGGUAGGGACCCCCAGUGGGGACCACGUGCCUUGCUGCUGACCCUGGGCAGAGCCACAUGAACCUCCUGGUGGGCACAGCAGACCAUGGCCAGCCUCUUGUGCUUCCCCCGGGGAACAGGCUUUUCCCUGGCAAAUGGGGCUGACUUCCACUGGCUUUGACGGGGAACCUGCCCUGGCUGGAUGUCCACCUGCACAGUCCUCCAGGCCUGAGGAAACAAAGCCCUGGGCGAGUAGGCAGCUACAGUUCUUCCUUCUCCCAAACCGGCUGGAGAGCACCAGGUGAGCCCAGAACCUCCAGGCAGGUGGGAGGAGCUGUGGAAGGUCAGCUGCCCAUCCUCCUGGAGCCUCACCUCCCCCGUGCAGAGCUGCCCGCAGGGUUGCAGAUGAGGGCGGGAAGCACACAGGCCCUGGCCCAUGCUAGGGACUCGGGAAAUAAUUUCUUCACUUUUCCUGAGGAAGGACAGGUGUUUGGGCCCCAGGUGUCAGGAGCUCACCGUGUGUGUAAGCAUACCCAUUUUCUUUCUCUCUGGUAUCAAGUCACUGACCCUGCCUCUUAAAGUGACUGGCAAAAACUUUCUUUUUAGAUAAUCCUCAAGAUGAAGUAGUUCUCCAUCAGGCAAUGAGCCGGAUGUCUGUGUAAUUCACAAACAUGCAUAAUCCUCCAACCGCACAUACUCAUAAAAAAUGCUGACCGAGGCCCUUAAAAUACACAUGACUGUGAAACCAAAAGGGUGACCCAGACAAAGGGAGACAAAGCCAAUUUUGUUUUGCUUUUAUUAUUUGGCUUUUGCAGAGAACCCAGAUGUGUGUGGGUGGCUCCAGCCUCUGGGAGUGCCCUGAGAACCACUUGGACUUUAAUUCUCCGUGGCCUUGUUCAAGGUGUGCAGCAGUGGGCAGGACUCGGCUGUGGGAGCUGGUGCACCCUCCAAGUGAGGCUGGGAAGGUGCUGGACACAGAGGGUCCCUGUCCAGGCACAGCACCUCGGCGUUGCUGACACCCACCAGUGAAGAAGCAGACGUCCUUCCUCAGAUGCAGCUCCACCACUUUUGACCUUGAUGACCUUGGAUGAGUUCCCUUGCUGUGUCUCCUUCGCACCAGCUAUAAAUGAGUAACGUGGACUCCUGAGAGGUGCUGUUAAGGAUUAGAUGAGUUAGCACACGUGAAGUGCUUAGCAGUGCCAGGCACAGUAAGUGCUCAGCAAAUGUUACCCCUGAGCACCUCCACGCUCCCAUCCCUCUGAGAUGCAAUUAACAUCUCCAGUGGCAUGAACUCACACAAGUGGGACCUCAACAGAAAAAGUCAACUUGAAAGGCAGGAAGUAGGUCACCAGGUUCCCCACAUAGCGAGUGAUGGGCAAGUUCAGAUUCAGCAUCUAUCGGGCAGAUGCUGAUGUUACAGGGCCUUUCAUUUAUAUGAUCUCAUUAAUCCUGGCAACAACAGACAACUCGAUUAGUGUUAUGAACUGAAUACUCCCCCCCGCCCCACAUAUGCUGAAACUCUGAUCCUAAUGUGAUUGUAUUUGGAGAUAUGGACUUAAGGAGGUAAUUAAGCUCUAUCUAAUAGGACAGGUGUCCUUAGAAGAGGAAGAAACACUGGACUGUGCACACACUGAGGAAAGACCGUGAGUGCACAGUGAGAAGGUGGCCGCCUGCAAGCCAAGGAGUGGGGCGUCACCAGAGGCCAGCACCGGCACCUCCGGCAACUCGACCGGCACCUUCACUUUGAAGUUCUGGCCUCCAGAACUGUGAGAAAAUAAAUUUAUAUUAAGUCACUUAGUCUGUGGUAUUCUAUUAUGGCAGCCUUAGCUGACUAUUACAGUAAGUAUCAAGGUUAUAGAAAGAAUACAGUAAAAUGUAUAGAUAUGCAGAGGGUCUAGAAUCUUCCAACAUCCUUCACCCUCCAUUUACCAUGAGGACAGAAAGAUCUGAAGGCCUGGACAUCCUCAUGUUGACUUUCCUUUUGCUCCUUCCUGGAGUAACUCAGAUGAUGUCAAACUUUCUCUACAGGGUUAUACAUACAGAACUUCCUUUGUUGGUGACAGAGAGGAGAAUAAUUAAUCAUAUGCAAAUCCACCUAACAUUUGGAUUUUUUUUUUAAAGACAGAAUCUCAACUCCGUCGCCCAGGCUGGAGUGCAGUGACCCAAUUACAGCUCACUGCAGCCUUGAACUCUUGAGCUCGAGCGAUCCUCCUGCCUCAGCCUCCUGAGUAGCUGGGACUACUGCUGCAUCCCCCCUCGCCUGGCUAAUUUUUAAAAUUUUUUGUAGAAAUGGUGUCUCAAUUUGUUGCCUGGGCCAGUCUUUAACUCCUGGCCUCAAGUGAUCCUCCUGCUUUGGCCUCUCAAAGUGCUGGGGUUAUAGGUGUGAGCCACCCUACACAGCCAGUCAGUCUUUUAACCCCUGUACUUUCUAUUAAUAUGAUAUGUGAACUGAGGCAAGUCAUACCCACAAUGGCCACUUUUCAGUUCCCCUAAUGCAUCAAGUUCCCUUUGGUCUCUUAGUAUGUAGUUUCUUCUGCCUAAAAUGCUCUUUCCCACCUCUCUGCCCAGUCAACUUCUACAUGUUGGUUCAAGUCAUCCAUUACAUCUUCAGAGAAGUCUCCUGCAAACCUUAAAAGUCAGGUCAAAUCUCCCUAUUCUGUACUUUACGGUGCUAUAUAACUUGCCUUCAAAAAGAAUGUCAGCAUGCAACUUUCCUUUCUCAUUAGACCAAAGGGUCCAUGAGGGCAGGGACAAGUUGGGCAUACUGCAGACAUUGCACCAACUCUUGAUGGACAAAUCAAUCAAGCCACUUACUAGGAAUAUCUCUGAGUUAGCUGAUUUCCCCUCCUUCUGAAAACAGGUGAGCUACAAGCUGCCCAAAGGAUAGUGGGAAUUCUUAGGGUGAGAAGCUCCAGAAUUAAGUAAAUGGAAGUGGUAUCAGUUAAUUUCCCAUUAGGCAUGAGGGAAAAAGGACUCAUGGACAGAAGCAUCACCUGGUAAAUGGGGGAUAUAGUCUUCAGUAGAUUCUUUCCUUCAGUUUGCCCCCACACACAGAGAGCAAACUGUACCCAACCUUCCCUCCGAGUGCUGUCAAUCACUGGUGCUAAUGAGUGAUGGGGAAGAGGGGGAGAAGUAAAUCUCAGGUUUCCCCAAACCAACCACCUCUUAAAAUUCUCUGGUUGGUUCUCAAUAAACUCUUACUGAACAUCUGCUCUGAGUCUGUACUGGGGAUUCAGAGAUUAAUGUGAUCUGGUCCCUUGCUUUAAGGGUCUGGUGGGGGAGAGAGACCAGGAAACAGAUGAGUAGAGUAUUUUCAUUCAUUCAUUCUUCCUUUAACUGUAAUAUCUGUAUUUGGACAGCUAAUAUGAACAGAGUGUGGGGCAUACAUAUUCUGGAUCCUCAAUUGUAGCCAGGAUGCAACAGUUGGCAGCCUUAAAUAUUUUAAGCAAGUUGAUCCAUGGAAAAAAAUCUGACAUUUCACAAAUUUUAUACCUCUCUCCCAAAGCCAGCCCCAAUCAUUGGGAGUUAGAAAUUGUCAGAAAUUGGGAGGCAGUGAAGGUGGUGGCUGGAGCUUUGGAGCCAGUUUUAUAUGCUGGCUGCAUGAACUCUGGCAAGAUCCCUCAGGUUGCUGAGCCUCAGUUUUCUUUGUUUAAGAUAAAGGGGAAGAAGGUGGGUUGGUGGGAAGGUCUUAAAUCAGAUUAGAAAUUAUAAAUCCUACCCCUUCCCCGGUUUCUGUGUGUACAGCUCUUAGGAAGCAGUCCAGAUGGGCUUACGGGUGUUUUUAUGUCUACGUCUCACCUUUAUUAGACUGACAUUGAGGCAGCGGCCCAGAUCAUUGGUUAUUUUAGCAAAUCUAUACAGACUAGCACAGUGCCUGGCUUGAAGAGGGCUCUGUAAAGUUCUUGCUGAAUAAAUAAGUUGUGGAUUAGUGUCCACUCCUACAUAGAAUCAGGAACUGACCACGGUCUGCCUGGCCUGGGCUGUAGUAUCAUUGCUGCAGAGGCCACGGCCACAGUGGUUGGGGUCAGGUACUGGCUGGACAGAUGAGAGUUGGCUUCUAGCUGGCUGAGGAUCCCAGGGCAAGUCACUCAUUUCCUCUGGGCCUUAGUUUUUACCCUUUAUAAAAUGGAGAAAAAGCUAUACCCACGCCAUAGGGUUGUUAUGAAGUUGAAAUGACUUAAUAGACAUGUCUAGAAAAAAUGCUGAGCAUAUAAUGUGUACCAACAAUGCGAACUCUUACUAGUAGUAGUAAUGGGAUAUUCCAUUUGACCAAUCAUCAAGGCAUAGGUUUGCCCAUGUCUUGCUUAAGGUGACUCAUUGUUAGGAUAAAAGCAGGAAUUUAAUUGUCAGCCUCUUACUAGGACAGAUCUCUCAAUGGGAUAGCUCAAAAAUUGUUCACACCCUGAAACUGACUCAAGAUAAUACUGUGCAAACACUGGGAAUGAUUCCUAACCUUAGGGCUGAAGUGAGUCCGGACUGAGUCAAAAUCUGUCAUGAACCUUGCAAAGCUUGAAGCAGAGGGAUUGGGUGAAGGAAACGCUGAACCCUCUGGAAGAAAUCUAGUCUAAAGCCAGCUCACAGCUGCGUGCUUGCCUGAGUCGCCCCACCCUUCAUGUCAUAUAAAAACUCCUACAGAAUCAAAACCAUGAAUUAUUUCAGGAUUAUUAUAUGUGCCAAACUGAACUUAACUGUAAGUUCCUAAAUAAAUAUGUGUUUAAAUAGGGACAUCACUGAAUAUUUACAAAUUGCAAGAGACCUAUGUGUUUGGUUUGUGAAAACUCUGAAGUAAUUUGGAGAGAUUUUUCCCCUCUAAAUUAAAAGGGUCUUUUUAUUAAAGGGUACCUCUUUCCAGGGUUUAGGAGAACUAUUGAGUGCCACCACCUCCAUAUGAUGCACCUCCACGUUAUCAGAAAGCUUUAGGGAUAUCUGAUGCCACCAGGUGUUGGACAGAUGUCAGCAUCUUGUUUGGGAAUGUUUUCCAGCUCAUGCUUGGGACACUUAUCAUAAGUAAAGAUAAAAUGAGCUUCCUGAAUGUUUCUAGUUCUUUGGAGACACAGCUAGUUCCAACAUCUCUGAAUUGUCGGAUGUUAAUCCAAACUGCAAAAACCCUAGGUAUUCCUCCCACCCCAGGAGGGGGGAUGACAAGCAAUGGGAAAUUUCCGGCAGCAGUAAAGAAGCAGAGAUGGUGGCAGGAAGAAUGAUGGCCCUGGAGUCAGACUGAGGGCAUGUGAGUAGGUUCCUUGGUUUGUGAGUCUCAGUUUCUGGGUUUAUAAACAUAUAAAGACGCUUACUCCUCUAGAUCUAAGUCAGGCCAUGCAUGGUCAGCGUCUGCUACUCAGGAGGCCCUUGCUCUACCCUUCCAUCCUUCCUCCCCUCCUCCCCAGAGCUUCUCUUCACUCCUUCACUUCAAGGAGGGAGAUAUGGUAAGAAUGCAGGAAAGCAGCCAGGAGGAGGGAGAAGCGAGGUGUCCAGGCGAGUGGUGGCUGUGCUAUGGUGACCUUGGUACAAUUCUAGCCGUCUCCUCUGCCCGGCCCUCCCCUCUGGGCUGCCCUCACCUGCUACCCUGGAGCACCUCCUCCUGCAAGUGGGAGGAGAAAGAAAACCUGAGGGCAUUCUGGGAUGGCUCCUCAUUAAAGCACUCUUUUAAUAGCUGAACUGGCUAAGACAAGGUUUCUAGAGGAUUUCAUUUAUUUGCCGGCUGCCUCAUUUUAUUACUGAAUAAAUGAAUUCAUGAGCGACAUGGCCAAAGUAGUCUGAGUUCAUUACAACAGAGCUAUGGUAAUUUCCAGGGCUCCCUUUGGGACCUUAUCAAUCAUUUUGGAGGUUUUUACCUUUAUUUCAUCAUUUUUAAAAGCUGACUGGGGAGGCCCCUUCCACUGUCUUUUAAGCGUCCUCUGGAGAUGCCCACCUGGGCAAAUGGUGCAUCUCUCUCCCUGAGACAGGUGCCCUUGUAAUAUUUCCACCAAGGUGGACCCUUCUCCCCUGCGCCCCCCAACCCCAAGCACUGCCCUCCCUUCUAAAGUCAGCAUGGGGCAAGCGCCUGGUUCAGGCCUCACUUUGCGCUGACCUCUCCUGAAGCAGAAACUCCAAGGGCUUCAGUGGCAUGUCCCAUUAUGCGGAUGACAUGGCCAUUAGUAACCAUGGUAACCUCCCUCCCCCCACCCAGCUUUUGUGGCUCCACAGGCCUGAUUUAUACCAGUCUCUCCCGGAUGUAAGGGGUGACGGAGACCCAACCAUAGUGGCCCCUUUCUUAAGCUGUGACAAGGCAAAUACCAAGCAUUUUCAAAGCCUUUGAGAUUAAUAGAAACAACCUUAAAUCUCCGAGAUAGCAAACUUGAAUACUUCCUCUACAGAGUCCAAAAAAAGAAAAAAAAAACAAAGAAAAGGGGAAAAACACAUGCUUUUAGUAUUUGUUUUGUUACAGUAGCAAACACAAAACACACAGAGGUGGGAUGUGUUUGUUGUUCAGAACAGUCACAAGCAGACUUUAGAAUGCACAGGCCCAAACAGAACACAGCUGUGGGGCUGUCCCCCUUCGCACAGCCUUGCAAAUAAGGAUGAGAUUUACCAGUCCCUAUUUUUAUUUCCUUUUUCAAAGGUCUUAAAAAAAAUAACCCACCCACCACAAAAAAUGAGUAAGUAUGUGAGGUAAUGUUUAGAUGAAUUAGCUCAAGGGAGCCCUUCCACGAGAUCUACGUAUUGCAAAACAUCACGCUGUAUGGAUACUUACUUGCCAAUUAAAAAAAAAAGAACCCACCAUCCAUGUCAACAUCUCUGUGCCCUACAAUCUUAUAUUAACCCUGGAAAUAAAAGGAAAGAAAGCCUGCCUUCUCCCCUGCUACAGGCGGGUGGGGGUGGCGGG